rnacentral:rRNA from 1 species
CCUACGGGUGGCUGCAGUGGGGAAUAUUGCACAAUGGGGGAAAGCCUGAUGCAGCGACGUCGCGUGAGGGAUGAAGGACCUCGGUAUGUAAAGCUCUUUUAGCAGGGACGAAAAUGACGGCACCUGACGAAGAAUAACCGGCGAACUACGGGCCAGCAGCCGCGGUAAUACGUAGGGGGCAAGCGUUAUCCGGAUUUACUGGGGGUAAUGGGAGCGUAGACGGCGGGGCAAGUCAGAUGUGAAAGCCCGGGGCUCAACCCCGGGAGUGCAUUUGAAACUGUGGUGCUUGAGUGUUGGAGAGGCAGGCGGAAUUCCGAGUGUAGCGGUGAAAUGCGUAGAUAUUAGGAGGAACACCAGUGGCGAAGGCGGCCUGCUGGACGUUGACUGACGCUGAGGCGCGAAAGCGUGGGGAGCAAACAGGAUUAGAUACCCCUGUAGUC